rnacentral:rRNA from 1 species
UACAGAGGUCUCAAGCGUUGUUCGGAUUCAUUGGGCGUAAAGGGUGCGUAGGCGGUUCGGUAAGUCGGGUGUGAAAACUUUGGGCUCAACCCAAAGCGUGCACUCGAUACUGCCAUGACUAGAGUUCGGUAGGGGAGUGGGGAAUUCCUAGUGUAGCGGUGAAAUGCGCAGAUAUUAGGAGGAACACCGGUGGCGAAGGCGCCACUCUGGGCCGAAACUGACGCUGAGGAGCGAAAGCGUGGGGAGCGAACAGG